rfam:Gossypium raimondii Chr08_contig_926, whole genome shotgun sequence.
UUGCACGAACUCUCCCGGGCUUAUCUGAAUUUUUUCGUAUGAAGAUGAAAGCCCCAAUGUUGGUGCUAAAUCCAUGCCGUUUUACGUGUUGCGGAAUAGCCUUUGCUUAUCGACUGGCUCUUCUGUGUCAAAUCGGCGGCUACAUCU